UGGCGCCUCAACGUGGGGCCUGGAAACGAGGGAUUCCGUGAGGAAGAGGACGCGAAAGAACGGUCGACCGUCGUCAAGGUGAAACUAAACUCCUCCGAUCACCGCGGGAACCUGCUGCGUCAGAAUCGAAGGUAAGUGACGCAUCCGAAAUGGGACAAGAAUUAAGNNNNNNNNNNUUGAGAGUUUUUAGCAUGAAGGGCUGUUGAAUUUUGUUGAAGGCCUUU
rfam:Chlorocebus sabaeus isolate 1994-021 chromosome 26, whole genome shotgun sequence.